GCAAGUCGAACGAUGAAGCCCUUCGGGGUGGAUUAGUGGCGAACGGGUGAGUAACACGUGGGCAAUCUGCCCUUCACUCUGGGACAAGCCCUGGAAACGGGGUCUAAUACCGGAUACCACUCCUGCCUGCAUGGGCGGGGGUUGAAAGCUCCGGCGGUGAAGGAUGAGCCCGCGGCCUAUCAGCUUGUUGGUGGGGUAAUGGCCCACCAAGGCGACGACGGGUAGCCGGCCUGAGAGGGCGACCGGCCACACUGGGACUGAGACACGGCCCAGACUCCUACGGGAGGCAGCAGUGGGGAAUAUUGCACAAUGGGCGAAAGCCUGAUGCAGCGACGCCGCGUGAGGGAUGACGGCCUUCGGGUUGUAAACCUCUUUCAGCAGGGAAGAAGCGAAAGUGACGGUACCUGCAGAAGAAGCGCCGGCUAACUACGUGCCAGCAGCCGCGGUAAUACGUAGGGCGCAAGCGUUGUCCGGAAUUAUUGGGCGUAAAGAGCUCGUAGGCGGCUUGUCACGUCGGAUGUGAAAGCCCGAGGCUUAACCUCGGGUCUGCAUUCGAUACGGGCUAGCUAGAGUGUGGUAGGGGAGAUCGGAAUUCCUGGUGUAGCGGUGAAAUGCGCAGAUAUCAGGAGGAACACCGGUGGCGAAGGCGGAUCUCUGGGCCAUUACUGACGCUGAGGAGCGAAAGCGUGGGGAGCGAACAG
rnacentral:rRNA from 1 species